rnacentral:rRNA from 1 species
GCGAUACAGGGUGACAGCCCCGUACACAAAAAUGCACAUGCUGUGAGCUCGAUGAGUAGGGCGGGACACGUGGUAUCCUGUCUGAAUAUGGGGGGACCAUCCUCCAAGGCUAAAUACUCCUGACUGACCGAUAGUGAACCAGUACCGUGAGGGAAAGGCGAAAAGAACCCCGGCGAGGGGAGUGAAAAAGAACCUGAAACCGUGUACGUACAAGCAGUGGGAGCACGCUUAGGCGUGUGACUGCGUACCUUUUGUAUAAUGGGUCAGCGACUUAUAUUCUGUAGCAAGGUUAACCGAAUAGGGGAGCCGAAGGGAAACCGAGUCUUAACUGGGCGUUAAGUUGCAGGGUAUAGACCCGAAACCCGGUGAUCUAGCCAUGGGCAGGUUGAAGGUUGGGUAACACUAACUGGAGGACCGAACCGACUAAUGUUGAAAAAUUAGCGGAUGACUUGUGGCUGGGGGUGAAAGGCCAAUCAAACCGGGAGAUAGCUGGUUCUCCCCGAAAGCUAUUUAGGUAGCGCCUCGUGAAUUCAUCUCCGGGGGUAGAGCACUGUUUCGGCAAGGGGGUCAUCCCGACUUACCAACCCGAUGCAAACUGCGAAUACCGGAGAAUGUUAUCACGGGAGACACACGGCGGGUGCUAACGUCCGUCGUGAAGAGGGAAACAACCCAGACCGCCAGCUAAGGUCCCAAAGUCAUGGUUAAGUGGGAAACGAUGUGGGAAGGCCCAGACAGCCAGGAUGUUGGCUUAGAAGCAGCCAUCAUUUAAAGAAAGCGUAAUAGCUCACUGGUCGAGUCGGCCUGCGCGGAAGAUGUAACGGGGCUAAACCAUGCACCGAAGCUGCGGCAGCGACACUGAUGUGUUGUUGGGUAGGGGAGCGUUCUGUAAGCCUGCGAAGGUGUGCUGUGAGGCAUGCUGGAGGUAUCAGAAGUGCGAAUGCUGACAUAAGUAACGAUAAAGCGGGUGAAAAGCCCGCUCGCCGGAAGACCAAGGGUUCCUGUCCAACGUUAAUCGGGGCAGGGUGAGUCGACCCCUAAGGCGAGGCCGAAAGGCGUAGUCGAUGGGAAACAGGUUAAUAUUCCUGUACUUGGUGUUACUGCGAAGGGGGGACGGAGAAGGCUAUGUUGGCCGGGCGACGGUUGUCCCGGUUUAAGCGUGUAGGCUGGUUUUCCAGGCAAAUCCGGAAAAUCAAGGCUGAGGCGUGAUGACGAGGCACUACGGUGCUGAAGCAACAAAUGCCCUGCUUCCAGGAAAAGCCUCUAAGCAUCAGGUAACAUCAAAUCGUACCCCAAACCGACACAGGUGGUCAGGUAGAGAAUACCAAGGCGCUUGAGAGAACUCGGGUGAAGGAACUAGGCAAAAUGGUGCCGUAACUUCGGGAGAAGGCACGCUGAUAUGUAGGUGAAGUCCCUCGCGGAUGGAGCUGAAAUCAGUCGAAGAUACCAGCUGGCUGCAACUGUUUAUUAAAAACACAGCACUGUGCAAACACGAAAGUGGACGUAUACGGUGUGACGCCUGCCCGGUGCCGGAAGGUUAAUUGAUGGGGUUAGCGCAAGCGAAGCUCUUGAUCGAAGCCCCGGUAAACGGCGGCCGUAACUAUAACGGUCCUAAGGUAGCGAAAUUCCUUGUCGGGUAAGUUCCGACCUGCACGAAUGGCGUAAUGAUGGCCAGGCUGUCUCCACCCGAGACUCAGUGAAAUUGAACUCGCUGUGAAGAUGCAGUGUACCCGCGGCAAGACGGAAAGACCCCGUGAACCUUUACUAUAGCUUGACACUGAACAUUGAGCCUUGAUGUGUAGGAUAGGUGGGAGGCUUGGAAGUGUGGACGCCAGUCUGCAUGGAGCCGACCUUGAAAUACCACCCUUUAAUGUUUGAUGUUCUAACGUUGACCCGUAAUCCGGGUUGCGGACAGUGUCUGGUGGGUAGUUUGACUGGGGCGGUCUCCUCCUAAAGAGUAACGGAGGAGCACGAAGGUUGGCUAAUCCUGGUCGGACAUCAGGAGGUUAGUGCAAUGGCAUAAGCCAGCUUGACUGCGAGCGUGACGGCGCGAGCAGGUGCGAAAGCAGGUCAUAGUGAUCCGGUGGUUCUGAAUGGAAGGGCCAUCGCUCAACGGAUAAAAGGUACUCCGGGGAUAACAGGCUGAUACCGCCCAAGAGUUCAUAUCGACGGCGGUGUUUGGCACCUCGAUGUCGGCUCAUCACAUCCUGGGGCUGAAGUAGGUCCCAAGGGUAUGGCUGUUCGCCAUUUAAAGUGGUACGCGAGCUGGGUUUAGAACGUCGUGAGACAGUUCGGUCCCUAUCUGCCGUGGGCGCUGGAGAACUGAGGGGGGCUGCUCCUAGUACGAGAGGACCGGAGUGGACGCAUCACUGGUGUUCGGGUUGUCAUGCCAAUGGCACUGCCCGGUAGCUAAAUGCGGAAGAGAUAAGUGCUGAAAGCAUCUAAGCACGAAACUUGCCCCGAGAUGAGUUCUCCCUGACUCCUUGAGAGUCCUGAAGGAACGUUGAAGACGACGACGUUGAUAGGCCGGGUGUGUAAGCGCAGCGAUGCGUUGAGCUAACCGGUACUAAUGAACCGUGAGGCUUAACCUUACAACGCCGAAGGUGUUU